UCCUACGGGAGGCAGCAGUGGGGAAUAUUGCACAAUGGGCGCAAGCCUGAUGCAGCCAUGCCGCGUGUAUGAAGAAGGCCUUCGGGUUGUAAAGUACUUUCAGCGGGGAGGAAGGGUUGCGGGCUAAUAACCAGCGACAUUGACGUUACCCGCAGAAGAAGCACCGGCUAACUCCGUGCCAGCAGCCGCGGUAAUACGGAGGGUGCGAGCGUUAAUCGGAAUUACUGGGCGUAAAGCGCACGCAGGCGGUCUGUCAAGUCAGAUGUGAAAUCCCCGGGCUUAACCUGGGAACUGCAUUUGAAACUGGCAGGCUAGAGUCUUGUAGAGGGGGGUAGAAUUCCAGGUGUAGCGGUGAAAUGCGUAGAGAUCUGGAGGAAUACCGGUGGCGAAGGCGGCCCCCUGGACAAAGACUGACGCUCAGGUGCGAAAGCGUGGGGAGCAAACAGGAUUAGAUACCCUGGUAGUCCACGCCGUAAACGAUGUCGACUUGGAGGUUGUGCCCUUGAGGCGUGGCUUCCGGAGCUAACGCGUUAAGUCGACCGCCUGGGGAGUACGGCCGCAAGGUUAAAACUCAAAUGAAUUGACGGA
rnacentral:rRNA from 1 species